UACGUAGGUGGCGAGCGUUAUCCGGAAUGAUUGGGCGUAAAGGGUGCGUAGGCGGAGGUGCAAGUCAGCGGUCAAAUCGCGGGGCUCAACCCCGCUCCGCCGUUGAAACUGUGUCCCUUGAGUGCGCGAAGGGUAGGCGGAAUGCGUGGUGUAGCGGUGAAAUGCAUAGAUAUCACGCAGAACUCCGAUCGCGAAGGCAGCCUACCGGCGCGCAACUGACGCUCAUGCACGAAAGCGUGGGUAUCGAACAGG
rnacentral:rRNA from 1 species